CCUCGAAAAAUGAUGUCUUGUUCACAAUCCAAUUUGUGAGCAGUCCAGCAGUCUGAAUUAGAUAGAAAUGGAUAGUUCCGGAGUUUCUAUUAUUACGUGCCCACGAUAACAGCAAUCGCGGUGAAAAGUCUUACCAGCGUGUAUUGAAAUACGUCUUCAGGGUUCAUAUCAACCAAGUGGUCCAGAAAUUGUCAUGCUUGCGAACGGCAACAAGGAUAUUUUGCAAUCCAGCGCAGAAAAUAAUGCGAACCGCAAGAUGUGCUAUUCCGACAGAGUGAAGGAGAUCCAGUGACAGGCAUUCGUAUUUAUGAUACAUUCAACUACAUGUCGCGUAAAAUUUGUUGCUAUUAAAUCAUUCAUUAUAAAGUGCGUAAAUCAAGUCAGACAGGAUGAACGUAAUGGACAAGAAUUUCAAGAACGGGAUGACGUUGGAUAGUCGAACAUUUGAAAAGUGUAGCAAUGCAAUGCUAAUGCAUUUUUCGUCCACUCUGCAAACAAAAGAUGAGCUGAUUCAUACCCCACUUGGACAGUUCGAAAUACGUUCUAAACCUGGUCAAAAUCAGGCGAAUAAUCAGGAGACAGGACAGCGUAGAAUUCCAUCAGCACCACUGAUUACAGUGAAAGGUCCCACACCAACGCCACCACCAAGAAAAAAGAAAACGUCUGCAGCCCAAAAUAAGACCAAGGUUAUAAAGGAAAGAGAGGAAAAUCUCGACGGGAAAGAUUCUGAGAACGCAAAGGCUUUGGCAUCUUCUGAAGAUGGCAAUAAGCAACGCCACGCAAGUUCAUUUAGUGGUCAAAGUAAACGACGACGCCGUGGUGAUGGUGUUUUCAGCCGUCCGGUCCAAUUUAUAAUGGACUGGAUGACAAACAUUGCAAAUGAAAUGGAGCUUAGUUCUUGUCCUCCAGUUUGAAUAAGAUCAAUGCUCUUCAGUAUUUUCCUUGGAACUCAAUAAUUCACCUAAUGUGUCAAUUAAUCUAGAAUAUUUUUUUUUGCUAUUUGUCGUGCUACAUUACAUGACUUUUAAUUUAUCGCAGUUUCAAGAAUAAUGUUCCUAUUCCAUAGUACAAACUCCCAAGAUCUUGAUCAUUCCUAUUUAAUUGCUACUGCAAAUGUAAUUAAUUAACUACGGAAAUAGAUUGUGUGAAUAAAUACAUGAAGAAUGGUAGCACGAUUAA